UACGGAGAGGGCUAGCGUUAUUCGGAAUUAUUGGGCGUAAAGAGCGCGUAGGCUGGUUAGUAAGUUAAAAGUGAAAUCCCAAAGCUCAACUUUGGAAUUGCUUUUAAAACUGCUAAUCUAGAGAUUGAAAGAGGGUAGAGGAAUUCCUAGUGUAGAGGUGAAAUUCGUAAAUAUUAGGAGGAACACCAGUGGCGAAGGCGUCUGUCUGGUUCAAAUCUGACGCUGAUGCG
rnacentral:rRNA from 1 species